GACGAACGCUGGCGGCGUGCCUAACACAUGCAAGUUGAGCGACGAACCAGGGCUUGCCCUGGGGCAAAGCAGCGAACGGGUGAGUAACACGUGGGUAACCUACCCCGAUAACCGGGACAACCCGAGGAAACUCGGGCUAAUACCGGAUGUGCUCACUGAACGUCGGUUCAGUGCGUAAAGGAAGCUUCGGCCUACGUAUCGGGAGGGGCCCGCGGCCCAUUAGCUAGUUGGUGGGGUAACGGCUCACCAAGGCCGCGAUGGGUCGCUGGUCUGAGAGGACGAGCAGCCAACCUGGGACUGAGACACGGCCCAGACUCCUACGGGGGGCAGGAGUGGGGAAUCUUGCGCAAUGCGCGAAAGCGUGACACAGCAACGCCGCGUGGGGGAAGAAGGCCUUCGGGUUGUAACCCACUUUCAGGAGGGACGAAGGUGCGGCGGUGAAUAGCCGUCCGGACUGACGGUACCUCCACAAGAAGCCCCGGCUAACUACGUGCCAGCCGCCGCCGUAA
rnacentral:rRNA from 1 species